rnacentral:rRNA from 1 species
UUGACCUCGGAUCAGGUAGGGAUACCCGCUGAACUUAAGCAUAUCAAUAAGCGGAGGAAAAGAAACCAACAGGGAUUGCCUCAGUAACGGCGAGUGAAGCGGCAAGAGCUCAAAUUUGAAAGCUGGCUCCUUCGGGGUCCGCAUUGUAAUUUGCAGAGGAUGCUUCGGGAGCGGUCCCCAUCUAAGUUCUCUGGAACG